AUUGAACGCUGGCGGUAUGCUUAACACAUGCAAGUCGAACGUGAAAGAGGGGUAACCCUCAAGUAAAGUGGCGGACUGGUGAGUAAUACGUAGGAAUCUACCCUAGAGAGGGGGAUAACCCGGGGGAAACUCGGGCUAAUACCGCAUGGUCUCUAUGGAGUAAAGGUGGCUAGCAAUAGCUAUCGCUUUAGGAUGAGCCUACGCCGGAUUAGCUAGUUGGUAGGGUAAUGGCCUACCAAGGCAACGAUCCGUAGCUGGUCUGAGAGGACGACCAGCCACACUGGGACUGAGAUACGGCCCAGACUCCUACGGGAGGCUG
rnacentral:rRNA from 1 species